rnacentral:rRNA from 1 species
CCUACGGGCCGCAGCAGUGGGGAAUACUGCACAAUGGGCGCAAGCCUGAUGCAGCCAUGCCGCGUGUAUGAAGAAGGCCUUCGGGUUGUAAAGUACUCUCAGCGGGGAGGAAGGUGUUGAGGUUAAUAACCUCAGCAAUUGACGUUACCCGCAGAAUGAAGCACCGGCUAACUCCGUGCCAGCAGCCGCGGUAAUACGGAGGGUGCAAGCGUUAAUCGGAAUUACUGGGCGUAAAGCGCACGCAGGCGGUCUGUCAAGUCGGAUGUGAAAUCCCCGGGCUCAACCGGGGAACUGCAUUCGAAACUGGCAGGCUAGAGUCUUGUAGAGGGGGGUAGAAUACCAGGUGUAGCGGUGAAAUGCGUAGAGAUCUGGAGGAAUACCGGUGGCGAAGGCGGCCCCCUGGACAAAGACUGACGCUCAGGUGCGAAAGCGUGGGGAGCUAACAGGAUUAGAUACCCCAGUAGUC